UACGUAGGGUGCGAGCGUUGUCCGGAGUUAUUGGGCGUAAAGAGCUCGUAGGCGGUUUGUCGCGUCUAUCGUGAAAACCUGGGGCUUAACUCCGGGCUUGCGGUGGAUACGGGCAGACUUGAGUUCGGUAGGGGAGACUGGAAUUCCUGGUGUAGCGGUGAAAUGCGCAGAUAUCAGGAGGAACACCGGUGGCGAAGGCGGGUCUCUGGGCCGAUACUGACGCUGAGGAGCGAAAGCGUGGGGAGCGAACAGG
rnacentral:rRNA from 1 species